CACGUAGGGGGCAAGCGUUGUCCGGAUUUAUUGGGCGUAAAGGGCGCGUAGGCGGUCACGCACGUCCGUUGUGAAAUCGCUCGGCUCAACUGGGCGGGGUCAGCGGAUACGGCGUGGCUGGAGCAAGCUAGGGGGCAAUGGAAUUCCCGGUGUAGUGGUGGAAUGCGUAGAUAUCGGGAGGAACACCAGUGGCGAAGGCGGUUGCCUGGAGCUUUGCUGACGCUGAUGCGCGAAAGCGUGGGGAGCGAUCCGG
rnacentral:rRNA from 1 species